AUGAGGAAAGAGUGGAGGCUUCCAGAAGAAAAGGAGUUCUGGUACACUGAAACAGACUGGCUACAAAUCCUACUGGACAAGUAUGAUUCAGAGAUAAGAAAGAAAAUUCUGCUGUUGUUAUGGAGAGCCUGGUUUCUACGAGAUAACUAUAUCCACAGUGAUGGCAAAGAAACCAUUUCGAGAUCGGUGAUGUUCCUUGUGCAGUAUGAGGAGGAAUCAGGAAUCUGUCGAUAUCUGCUGUUGGACAGGGAAACAAGAGUUGCUGGGCCCUGUCUGCAUCUAGACACACCACGACUAGGAAUCAGCCGAACGCCGAGCCAAAUGCCCAGUGGAAAGAGCCGCCUGAAGGUGUUGUAA
rnacentral:rRNA from 1 species